rnacentral:rRNA from 1 species
GACGAACGCUGGCGGCGUGCUUAACACAUGCAAGUCGAACGGAAAGGCCCUGCUUUUGUGGGGUGCUCGAGUGGCGAACGGGUGAGUAACACGUGAGUAACCUGCCCUUGACUUUGGGAUAACUUCAGGAAACUGGGGCUAAUACCGGAUAGGAGCUCCUGCUGCAUGGGGGGGGUUGGAAAGUUUCGGCGGUUGGGGAUGGACUCGCGGCUUAUCAGCUUGUUGGUGGGGUAGUGGCUUACCAAGGCUUUGACGGGUAGCCGGCCUGAGAGGGUGACCGGCCACAUUGGGACUGAGAUACGGCCCAGACUCCUACGGGAGGCAGCAGUGGGGAAUAUUGCACAAUGGGCGGAAGCCUGAUGCAGUAACGCCGCGUGCGGGAUGACGGCCUUCGGGUUGUAAACCGCUUUCGCCUGUGACGAAGCGUGAGUGACGGUAAUGGGUAAAGAAGCACCGGCUAACUACGUG